rnacentral:rRNA from 1 species
GAUGAGCGCUGGCGGUAUGCUUAACACAUGCAAGUCGAACGGACUCUUCGGAGUUAGUGGCGGACGGGUGAGUAACGCGUGAGAAUCUGGCUUUGGGUUCGGGGCAACCACUGGAAACGGUGGCUAAUACCGGAUGUGCCGAGAGGUAAAAGAGAAAUUGCCUGAAGAUGAGCUCGCGUCUGAUUAGCUAGUUGGUGAGGUAAAGGCUCACCAAGGCAGCGAUCAGUAGCUGGUCUGAGAGGAUGACCAGCCACACUGGGACUGAGACACGGCCCAGACUCCUACGGGAGGCAGCAGUGGGGAAUUUUCCGCAAUGGGCGAAAGCCUGACGGAGCAAUACCGCGUGAGGGAAGAAGGCUCUUGGGUUGUAAACCUCUUUUCUUAGGGAAGAACAAAAUGACGGUACCUAAGGAAUCAGCAUCGGCUAACUCCGUG